CCUACGGGGGACAGCAGUGAGGAAUAUUGGUCAAUGGGCGGGAGCCUGAACCAGCCAAGUCGCGUGAGGGAAGACGGUCCUAUGGAUUGUAAACCUCUUUAGGCGGGGAGCAAUGCCGGGCACGCGUGCCCGGAGGGAGAGUACCCGCAGUAUACGCAUCGGCUAACUCGGUGCCAGCAGCCGCGGUAAUACGGAGGAUGCGAGCGUUAUCCGGAUUUAUGGGGUUUAAAGGGUGCGUAGGCGGAUUUUUAAGUCAGCGGUAAAAUGUCCGGGCACCAGCCGGGCCGGCCGUUGAAACUGGGGAUCUUGAGUGGGCGAGAAGUAUGCGGAAUGCGUGGUGUAGCGGUGAAAUGCAUAGAUAUCACGCAGAACUCCGAUUGCGAAGGCAGCAUACCGGCGCCCGACUGACGCUGAGGCACGAAAGCGUGGGGAUCGAACAGGAUUAGAUACCCGUGUAGUC
rnacentral:rRNA from 1 species